GUGAGGAAUAUUGGUCAAUGGACGCAAGUCUGAACCAGCCACGUCGCGUGAAGGAAGACGGCCCUACGGGUUGUAAACUUCUUUUGUAAGGGAAUAAAGUGCAGUACGCGUACUGUUUUGCAUGUACCUUACGAAUAAGGAUCGGCUAACUCCGUGCCAGCAGCCGCGGUAAUACGGAGGAUCCGAGCGUUAUCCGGAUUUAUUGGGUUUAAAGGGUGCGCAGGCGGGAGAUUAAGUCGGCGGUGAAAUUUUGCAGCUCAACUGUAAAAGUGCCUUCGAAACUGGUUUCCUUGAGUGUGGAUGAAGUAGGCGGAAUUUGUGGUGUAGCGGUGAAAUGCAUAGAUAUCACGAGGAACUCCGAUUGCGCAGGCAGCUUACUAAGCCAUAACUGACGCUCAGGCACGAAGGCGUGGGGAUCAAACAGGAUUAGAUACCCCUGUAGUCC
rnacentral:rRNA from 1 species